UAUUGGUCAAUGGGCGGGAGCCUGCACCAGCCAAGUCGCGUGAGGGAGGAAGGUACAGAGUAUCGUAAACCUCUUUUGUCAGGGAACANAGGCGGGGACGUGUCCCCGGAUGAGUGUACCUGACGAAAAAGCAUCGGCUAACUCCGUGCCAGCAGCCGCGGUAAUGCGGAGGAUGCGAGCGUUAUCCGGAUUUAUUGGGUUUAAAGGGUGCGCAGGCGGUCUGUUAGGUCAGCGGUCAAAGCCCGGGGCUCAACCCCGCCCCGCCGUUGAAACUGGCAGUCUCGAGUUGGAGAGAAGUAUGCGGAAUGCGCGGUGUAGCGGUGAAAUGCAUAGAUAUCGCGCAGAACUCCGAUUGCGAAGGCAGCAUGCCGGCUCCACACUGACGCUGAGGCACGAAAGCGUGGGUAUCG
rnacentral:rRNA from 1 species